CCUACGGGUGGCAGCAGUGGGGGAUAUUGCACAAUGGGGGAAACCCUGAUGCAGCGACGCCGCGUGGGUGAAGAAGCGCCUCGGCGCGUAAAGCCCUGUCAGCAGGGAGGAAAAUGACGGUACCUGAAGACUAAGCCACGGCGAACUCCGUCCCAGCAGCCGCGGUAAUACGUAGGGGGCAAGCGUUAUCCGGAAGGACUGGGGGUAACGCGCGCGCAGGCGGCGGAGCGAGACAGAUGUGAAGUCCCGGGGCCUAACCGGGGGAGUGGUUCUGGUACUGGUUAGCGAGAGUGCAGUAGGGGGGGGUAGACUUCCAUGUGGAGCGGUGAAAUGCGUAGAGAUGUGGAGGCAUACUGGUGGCGAAGGCGGCCCGCUGGACAAAGACUGACGCUCAGGGGCGACAGCGUGGGGAGCAAACAGGAUUAGAUACCCCAGUAGUC
rnacentral:rRNA from 1 species